CGUACGCGGAUAUAUAAGUUAGAUGUGAAAUACCCGAGCUUAACUUGGGUCCUGCAUUUAAGACUGUAUGUCUAGAGUCUGUCAGAGGGGGGUAGAAUUCCAAGUGUAGCAGUGAAAUGCGUAGAGAUUUGGAGGAAUACCGAUGGCGUAGGCAGCCCCCUGGGAUAGAACUGACGCUGAGGCACGAAAGCGUGGGUAGCAAACAGGAUUAGAUACCCUGGUAGUCCACGCCCUAAACGAUGUCUACUUGCUGUUGGGGGUAAAACCUAAGUAGCGAAGCAAACGCGAGAAGUAGACCGCCUGGGGAGUACGGUCGCAAGAUUAAAACUCAAAGGAAUUGACGGGGACCCGCACAAGCGGUGGAUGAUGUGGAUUAAUUCGAUGCAACGCGAAAAACCUUACCUGCUCUUGACAUGCUAGGAAUUUAGUAGAGGUACUGAAGUGCCUUCGGGAACCUAGACACAGGUGCUGCAUGGCUGUCGUCAGCUCGUGUCGUGAGAUGUUGUCUUAAGUGACGCAACGAGCGCAACCCUUACUA
rnacentral:rRNA from 1 species